UACGUAGGUGGCAAGCGUUGUCCGGAUUUAUUGGGUUUAAAGGGUGCGUAGGCGGUUUUGUAAGUCAGUGGUGAAAUACUCUAGCUUAACUAGAGGGGUGCCAAUGAUACUGCGGAACUUGAGUACAGAUGAGGUAGGCGGAAUUGACGGUGUAGCGGUGAAAUGCAUAGAUAUCGUCAAGAAUACCGAUAGCGAAGGCAGCUUACUGGGCUGUAACUGACGCUGAUGCACGAAAGUGUGGGGAUCAAACAGG
rnacentral:rRNA from 1 species